GGGUGAGUAACGUGUGGGCAACCUGCCUCAUACAGAGGGAUAAUCAUGUGAAAACGUGACUAAUACCGCAUGUCGUUUCGGGAGGGCAUCCUCCUGAAAGAAAAGGAGCAAUCCGGUAUGAGAUGGGCCCGCAUCUGAUUAGCUAGUUGGCGAGAUAACAGCCCACCAAGGCGACGAUCAGUAGCCGACCUGAGAGGGUGAUCGGCCACAUUGGGACUGAGACACGGCCCAAACUCCUACGGGAGGCAGCAGUGGGGAAUAUUGCACAAUGGGGGAAACCCUGAUGCAGCAACGCCGCGUGAAGGAAGACGGUUUUCGGAUUGUAAACUUCUAUCAAUAGGGACGAAGAAAGUGACUGUACCUAAAUAAGAAGCCCCGGCUAACUACGUGCCAGCAGCCGCGGUAAUACGUAGGGGGCAAGCGUUAUCCGGAAUUACUGGGUGUAAAGGGUGAGUAGGCGGCAUGGCAAGUAAGAUGUGAAAGCCCGAGGCUUAACCUCGGGAUUGCAUUUUAAACUGCUAAGCUAGAGUACAGGAGAGGAAAGCGGAAUUCCUAGUGUAGCGGUGAAAUGCGUAGAUAUUAGGAAGAACACCAGUGGCGAAGGCGGCUUUCUGGACUGAAACUGACGCUGAGGCACGAAAGCGUGGGGAGCGAACAGGAUUAGAUACCCUGGUAGUCCACGCCGUAAACGAUGAGUGCUAGGUGUCGGAGGGGA
rnacentral:rRNA from 1 species